GCCAGCGUGGUAUAGUGGUCUGAGUUUUAGAUUAUAACUCUGGAGUCCAGGGUUCAAAUCCAUAUAAACCCGCUGGUU